CAGCAGAGUGUACAGAGUUGUUUUUAUUCAUUCUUUCUGCAAUUAAUUAAUUGUAUUGAUAUUUAUUUUUAAUAUCUGGAAAUUUAUUUGUUACCAUGGUACAUGAAAUAUAAAAUUCCUCAUUGCAAUCAAUUCAUUUAAUUAAUUAAAACCAUAGAUAUAGUGCCCAUGAUCCAAAAAUAUUAAGAGAGUUCACAGUCCACUAAAAUGCAAGUACAUUCAAACUAAUACAAUAAAAUAUACAUCAGUAUUCACAAAUGGCUAAAGUGCAGCAAGUCAUACUAAUGGACGCAAAGGCCUGAGUAAAUAAAUUAGGUAUUUAGUAAGUGCUGGAAGCCCAUUAUCAUUGGUUAUUGUCUAAUAUCUAAGGGGAGAUGAUUCCAUAAAGUGGGUGCCAUGGCAGAGAAGGCCCUUCCCCUAGAUACGACCAGAUGAGCAUUGGCAGGCUGCAACAUAACCAGGAGGGCCUCACUUUCAGAUCUCAGUGACCAGGUAGAUCUGUGCAGAAGAAAGGGCUCUCUCGGGUAACCCAGUCUUAGGUUGCUUGGAGCAUUUACAUCAUCAGCAAAACGGUAAACCUGGCUUUGCAGCAAAGCGGCAGCCAGUGCAGAUCUUUCAAAAGUGACGUUAUAUAUCCACAGUAGGCAGCCUCACUUAACAACCAAGUGAUGACAUUUAUUUAUUUAUUUAAAAUAUUUCUAGCCCACUCUAUUUUUUCCCCAGAAACUCAGAGCGGCGAACAACCUAAAACCAGUACAUAAAAAAGAAUAAAACAAUAAGAUACCAAAUCUACACAGAUCGAAUACAGUUAAAAAAUACAAUAAUUAUAUACUUGUUACCAUGAUUUAUUAAAAUUCCUAUUCUACGUAUAGUUAAACGCAACCCGAAAAAGGAACGUCUUCACCUGACGGCGGAAUGCCGCAAGUGAAGGAGCCAACCAAACCUCAAUCAGUAAAGCAUUCCAGAGACUAGGAGCUAUAACCGAGAACGCCCUAUUUCUGGUUCCUGACAAGUGAACUUGUGAGACUGGAGGGAUCGUAAGAAGUAUUUCUUCCGAGGACCUCAAAGAAUGGGAAGGUUCAUAACGAGACAACCGGUCUGACAAAUAGACAGGGCCCAAGCCGUGUAGGGCUUUAAAGGUUAACACCAGCACUUUGAAUUGAGUCCGGAAGCGAAGCGGCAGCCAGUGGAGUUGUUGUAACAAAGGCGUUGUAUGGGCUCGAAGGCCUGCUCCCGUCAACAUUCUCACUGCUGCACGUUGAACCAAUUUAAGCUUCCGAACUGUCUUCAAAGGCAGCCCCACGUAGAGUGCAUUGCAGUAAUCCAACCGGGAUGUAACUAAGGCAUGUGUUACUCUCGUCAGAUCGGACAUCUCUAGAAACGGACGCAGUUGGCCAACCAGUCUUAACUGGGCGAAAGCGCUCCUGGACACUGCAGAAACCUGUGCUUCAAAAUUCAAAGCCGAGUCCAGAAGCACACCCAAACUGCGAACCUGAGUUUUUAGGGGGAGUGUAACCCCAUCCAACACAGGCAAAUUCCCUAUUUCCAGGUUUGUCCCACGACUGACGCAGAGCAUUUCUGUCUUGUCUGGAUUUAGUUUCAGCUUGUUCUGACAUUCCACACUAGCUGCAGCUUCUGGACCAGCCUUCAGGGCAGCCCCACAUAGAGUACAUUACAGUAAUCCAGUCUUGAGGUUACUAACAUCCAGAUCACUGUGGACAGGCUGUCCAGAAGCAUUCCCUGUUCAGAAGCAGUUAUAGCUGGCAUAGCAGCCACAGCUGGAUCAGUGCAUUCCUAGCCAUUGAGGCCACCUGGAUCUCACCUGACAACCUCCUACAGACUUUGUAUCCAUUCCUUAAGGGAGCAUUCAACCCUGUUUAAAACAGGCAAAUUACCCAAUUCGCAGACACAAGAACGCCCCCAGCCAAAGCCUCCGUCUUGUCAUGAUUCAGCCUCAGGUUAUUGGCCCUCAUCCAGCAAACCAAUACAUCCAGGUACCAAUCCAGAACUUGCAUGACCACUCUUGACUAAGAUGUACCCAAGAAAUAGAAUCGGGUGUUUAUUGCAAUAAGAUUUAUAAAAGUGACUGUCAAAGCAAGCUAACAUUUUGCAUGAUAUAAAAGGCUCAGGCUGCAAUUCUUGACACACUUACUUGGGAGUAACUCCCACUGAGCACAGUGGAAGUUACUUAUGAAUAAACAUGUAUAGGUUGAAUUGUAACUCUCAUUAACGUUUGGAUAUUUUUACUGAAAUUAGCCAAUCCACUUGGACGUUGAGCUCCAAAAAAGUGAUCAUGGUGUCUCCCCUGCCAGGAGUUCUUGGAAACUGCACACUGGAAGGAUUACAUAAUGAAGUCUAUUUAUAGAUCACUGAAUAAUUAAUACCAGUACAGUCUUCAUCCACUCCUACAAUGGGAGGAUAACACCGAAUCCAGCCCUCUACCUUCUUUUGUCCCAGCCUCGUCCUCCAUUGGCGUGCAGCCCCCAGAAGGCUGCCCAUGGCCUCAGGGCCUCGGACUAGGGAAAAAGUUUUCCUGACCUUACAAGAUGCCAUUCUAGCGUAUUUGACACCCGGAGCAGAUCAUUUUUUUAACACCCCCCUCCUCUAUACGACAAAAUUAUUUUCAGUAAUAAUCAUGAAAUGAAACGAAUAAUAAUGGCCAGAAAAGAAACGCAGACAGUGAAAAAUUUCUUUUAUGGAACUUUGUAUAUAUAAUCGUGCCAGU